AUGAUGACUGGUUCUUGUUAAACCUAUAAAACAUAAAGUCACCAAAUUUGAACUGAUUUGUUAAUAUAUUCUAUUUAUAUGCUUCUUGUUAUGGUUUUAUUCAUGACUUUAAAGUUUACAUUGAUAUUAGUAUAAUGACAUGUAGCAAUGUGACAAAACGUUUCAAUUUUUUUUAACCACAGACAGUAGAGUUGUCAUCCACUGUAUGUACACUAGAUGCACAUAUUGUUUCCUUAACCUAUUUUGUUCUCAGAUUCCAUGAGUUUUGCAUACGUGGGUGGUGCAUUGUGGGUAAGAAGCAGAUGUGUCCAUACUGCAAAGAAAAAGUUGACCUUAAAAGGAUGUUCAGUAACCCAUGGGAGAGACCCCAUGUCAUGUAUGGACAGCUACUGGACUGGCUGCGCUACCUUGUGGCCUGGCAGCCUAUUAUCAUUGGAUUGGUACAAGGCAUCAAUUACAUUCUAGGUUUGGAGUAAUGUGACCCAGCAUAGAGGGACUAGCAUGGUUUACUCAAUCUGCAGCGAAUACCAUCUUUGGUUUCACUGAAACAGGGACACUCUUUCAAAGACUGACUCUAAUGUUGUGGUAAUAUAUCUUUAAAUUAAAUUCUAUGUGUAGUCUGAAGUUGGA